GCGUCGGAUGACAGCUGGAUUCAUGGGAAUGGCAGUGGCCAUCAUCCUGUUUGGCUGGAUAAUCGGGAUCUUGGGUUGCUGUUGGGAUCGGGGCCUGAUGCAGUAUGUGGCUGGCUUGCUGUUCCUGAUGGGAGGGACCUCUUGCAUCAUCUCUCU